UGGGGAAUUUUGGACAAUGGGGGAAACCCUGAUCCAGCCAUCCCGCGUGUGCGAUGAAGGCCUUCGGGUUGUAAAGCACUUUUGGCAGGAAAGAAACGUCAUGGGUUAAUACCCCGUGAAACUGACGGUACCUGCAGAAUAAGCACCGGCUAACUACGUGCCAGCAGCCGCGGUAAUACGUAGGGUGCAAGCGUUAAUCGGAAUUACUGGGCGUAAAGCGUGCGCAGGCGGUUCGGAAAGAAAGAUGUGAAAUCCCAGAGCUCAACUUUGGAACUGCAUUUUUAACUACCGGGCUAGAGUGUGUCAGAGGUAGCUGGAAUUCCGCGUGUAGCAGUGAAAGGCGUAGAUAUGCGUAGGAACACCGAUGGCGAAGGCAGCCUCCUGUGAUAACACUGACGCUCAUGCACGAAAGCGUGGGGAGCAAACAGG
rnacentral:rRNA from 1 species